GACGAACGCUGGCGGCGUGCUUAACACAUGCAAGUCGAGCGGUAAGGCCCUUUCGGGGGGUACACGAGCGGCGAACGGGUGAGUAACACGUGGGUGACCUGCCCUCAGCUCUGGGAUAAGCCUGGGAAACCGGGUCUAAUACCGGAUAUGACUCCAUGACGCAUGUUGUGGGGUGGAAAGCCUUGUGCGGCUGAGGAUGGGCCCGCGGCCUAUCAGCUUGUUGGUGGGGUGAUGGCCUACCAAGGCGACGACGGGUAGCCGGCCUGAGAGGGCGACCGGCCACACUGGGACUGAGACACGGCCCAGACUCCUACGGGAGGCAGCAGGUGGGGAAUCUUGCGCAAUGGGCGAAAGCCUGACGCAGCGACGCCGCGUGAGGGAUGACG
rnacentral:rRNA from 1 species